AAGAAAUAUUAAGAUAGUAUAUGUCCUAAGAUUAAGAAAACUAUACGAUUAAAAACGAUGAGAGAAACCGACCGUCCUUAUAACAAGUGGCAAAGGGCUUGGUGGUUGGUACCCGAGACCCAAGUUCGAAUCCUAGUUGAUUCACAUUUCCAGCUAAGUUUAUUUCUAAAUGAAAUAAACGAAGCGGGUAGCGUGCUAUCUAUCUCUCAAAAAAAAAAAAAAAAA
rnacentral:lncRNA from 1 species